rnacentral:snRNA from 1 species
UCCCAGUUCCGAACCCGUCGGC